UUCCCUUCGGGGACAUUGGUGACAGGUGGUGCAUGGUUGUCGUCAGCUCGUGUCGUGAGAUGUUGGGUUAAGUCCCGCAACGAGCGCAACCCUUGUCUUUAGUUGCGAACAUUAAGUUGGGCACUCUAGAGAGACUGCCAGGGAUAACCUGGAGGAAGGUGGGGAUGACGUCAAGUCGUCGUGCACCUUAUGCUUAGGGCUACACACGUGCUACAAUGGGUAGUACAGAGGGUUGCCAAGCCGUAAGGUGGAGCUAAUCCCUUAAAGCUACUCUCAGUUCGGAUUGUAGGCUGAAACUCGCCUACAUGAAGCUGGAGUUACUAGUAAUCGCAGAUCAGAAUGCUGCGGUGAAUGCGUUCCCGGGUCUUGUACACACCGCCCGUCACACCACGGGAGUUGGAGACGCCCGAAGCCGAUUAUCUAACCUGUUGGAAGAAGUCGUCGAAGGUGGAAUCAAUAACUGGGGUGAAGUCGUAACAAGGUAGCCGUAUCGGAAGGUGCGGCUGGAUCACCUCCUUUCUAAGGAGA
rnacentral:rRNA from 1 species